AGGUUCCUCCUCCGUUUAUACCGAACGUGUCUGAGCAAGAAAUCGGUGACAAAUACAUUCCUGCCGAGUUCAAGUCGGAUACAGUAGCAAAUACACCAUCAGACGGUGCAGGUGCUCUGCAUGGUGGGGAAGGAGAGCCAUUUGAGCAGUUUACGUUUGUGGGUGACAAAGGCAAUCUGCACACAUGAUUUCGUUUGUAGGAUUUUUGUGAGAUAUCGUACAUUUCAAGUUGAUCGUGAUUGGAUAGGAGGAAUGAAUACCAGAAUGGGUCGCGAUCCGAUCGCGAAUUAUAUGAUGAGAGAUCUAGCAAGUGGCUUCCUCUUCCACUCAUGACACACAAACGGUGGUUACAUGCUGCAUUCUCAACUCAGAAUGGAGAACUCAUCACAGCGGGAGGGUUGGAUGAAGAACUCGAAACCAUCAUGUCAAUAGAAAGUCUGAAAUGUCCAUAACAUUUUGUGUUAACAAAUUACCUUAUUUUUAGUUUGUGUGUAUUUGACAUUUUGUUACGUUUAUCCAACUGUAUGUUUAUGGAAGACACUUGGCGUGUAUGCAAGUGUAAGAGCAUCUAAUGAUACCAUAUUAUAUUAUUAUAUCACAUCAAGCUCCAUAUUCACGUUUUUCUAUCAAACAUACCUCCUUACAUCAGCAGACGUUGAGAAAGCGCUCAAAUCUCAUAAAGCAAUAAUACCAUCUAUUAUCAUUCAGCAACAACAUAAUCCAUAUUCCUCAUGUGUACAACUGUUUAUAUAAUUGACGUCGAUAGUAAACUCGGUCGACAUGAACU